AUGUACAUGCAUAUAGCAUAGAAUUAAUGCACUAGAUCCCAUUAGAAAUCAGUAGUUAAGCACACUCGGGAUAGAGUAGUACUGGGAUGGGUGACCACCUAGGAAGUCCUAGUGUUUUACAUU
rfam:Picea glauca, whole genome shotgun sequence.